GUCGAACGGGAAGGCCCUUCGGGGUACUCGAGUGGCGAACGGGUGAUAACACGUGGGUGAUCUGCCCUGCACUUUGGGAUAAGCCUGGGAAACUGGGUCUAAUACCGAAUACACCCUUCUGGCUGCAUGGUCUGGUUGGGGAAAGCUUUUGCGGUGUGGGAUGGGCCCGCGGCCUAUCAGCUUGUUGGUGAGGUUACGGCUCACCAAGGCGACGACGGGUAGCCGGCCUGAGAGGGUGACCGGCCACACUGGGACUGAGAUACGGCCCAGACUCCUACGGGAGGCAGCAGUGGGGAAUAUUGCACAAUGGGCGCAAGCCUGAUGCAGCGACGCCGCGUGAGGGAUGACGGCCUUCGGGUUGUAAACCUCUUUCGCCAGGGACGAAACGCAAGUGACGGUACCUGGAGAAGAAGGACCGGCCAACUACGUGCCAGCAGCCGCGGUAAUACGUAGGGUCCGAGCGUUGUCCGGAAUUACUGGGCGUAAAGAGCUCGUAGGUGGUUUGUCGCGUUGUUCGUGAAAACUCACAGCUCAACUGUGGGCGUGCGGGCGAUACGGGCAGACUGGAGUACUGCAGGGGAGACUGGAAUUCCUGGUGUAGCGGUGGAAUGCGCAGAUAUCAGGAGGAACACCGGUGGCGAAGGCGGGUCUCUGGGCAGUAACUGACGCUGAGGAGCGAAAGCGUGGGGAGCGAACAGGAUUAGAUACCCUGGUAGUCCACGCCGUAGACGGUGGGUACUAGGUGUGGGUUUCCUUCCUUGGGAUCCGUGCCGUAGCUAACGCAUUAAGUACCCCGCCUGGGGAGUACGGCCGCAAGGCUAAAACUCAAAGAAAUUGACGGGGGGGGGGCACAAGCGGCGGAGCAUGUGGAUUAAUUAAUUUGCAACGCGAAGAACCUUACCUGGGUUUGACAUGCACAGGACGUGCCUAGAGAUAGGUAUUCCCUUGUGGCCUGUGUGCAGGUGGUGCAUGGCUGUGGUCAGCUCGUGUCGUGAGAUGUUGGGUUAAGUCCCGCAACGAGCGCAACCCUUAUCUUAUUUUGCCAGCGCGUAAUGGCGGGGACUGGUGAGAGACUGCCGGGGUCAACUCGGAGGAAGGUGGGGAGGAGGUCAAGUCAUCAUGCCCCUUAUGUCCAGGGCUUCACACAUCAUACAAUGGCCGGUACAAAGGGCUGAGAUGCCGUGAGGUGGAGCGAAUCCUUUCAAAGCCGGUCUCAGUUCGGAUCGGGGUCUGCAUCUCGACCCCGUGAAGUCGGAGUCGGUAGUAAUCGCAGAUCAGCAACGGUGCGGUGAAUACAUUCCCGGGCCUUGUACACACCGCCCGUCACGUCACGAAAGUGGGUAACACCGGAAGCCGGUGGCCUAACCCCUUAAGGAG
rnacentral:rRNA from 1 species